UGCACUUAUAAAACCACUUAAUCAAUGCAGUUUUUAUGAAAAUCUGUUACACAAAAAUGUACCAAACAUUCUGAUGUUUCUAAUCCUCCACAUGCCCAAGCCCAUGCACCUUGUAAAAAAUCACCAGCUUCGGAUUAUGUUUUAUAAAAAAAAUAGGUCAUUUUCCUUCCUUUAUUUUUUGCUUUAUAAGUGACUUUAGGUCUCAAAUGGGACCUUAAAGGGUUAAAAUUUUUAUUUUCAAUGAAACAUUUGCUAGUUUUGAACAGGGAAGAAGUAAAAUAAGAGAUGUAUGAAAAAAAUCAGAAAAAAGUAUUAAUCCAAUAUAUCUUACAGCAGACAAAGUAGUUUUGGCCACUGAGGGGCGCCAAAGGGAGUUUUUUAUUAAACCUGAUGCUACAGAAAAACUAAAAAGGGAAUAAAGUCAAUGAUAUAACUAUUCUUUGACAUAUUCAAGACUUUGAUUACCUGCGGGAGAUCACCAGUUUCUGAUGAUGUUUUUUGAAGUUUAUGUCUGAUUAAGUAUUGGCUUUUUUGGCCACUGGGAGGCACUAAAGGGACAGAAUUAUUCCUGGCUUUAGUAUUGACCCGGUGAAAAUUUUGAAUUCAUGUUUUCAAAGAGUAUGUCAAAUUGAGCAUAAAAAAAAACUCGCCAAUACAAACUACGAUCAUAACAACAAGCCGACACAUCAAAAGAACACUUAAACAACAGCUAAACACAGGGGGUAACAAACUCAACAGAUGCAUGCCAUAACACAUGCUCACAAACCUUCAAACUCGCAAAACAAACAAUGAUCAUAACAACAAGCCAAACUCUUUAAAAGAACACUAAAACAACAGCUUAACACAAGGGGUAGCCAAUUCAACAUAUACGUGCCAUAACACAUGCUCAAAAACCUACAAACUCACCAAAACAAACAAUGUUCAUAACAACACGCCAAACUCUUUAAAAGAACACUAAAACAACAGCUUAACACAAGGGUUAACUAAUUCAACAUUACAUGCCAUAACACAUGCUCACAAACCUUCAAACUCGCCAAAACAAACAAUGAUCAUAACAACAAGCCAAACUCUUUAAAAGAAAACUUAAAAUACAAUUUAGCACAAGGGGAAGCAAAUUCAAAACAUACGAGCCAUAACACAUGUGCACAAAACUUCAAACUCGCCAAUACAAACUACGAUCAUAACAACAAGCCAACACAUCAAAAGAACACUUAAACAACAGCUAAACACAGGGGGUAACAAACUCAACAGAUGCAUGCCAUAACACAUGCUCACAAACCUUCAAACUCGCAAAACAAACAAUGAUCAUAACAACAAGCCAAACUCUUUAAAAGAACACUAAAACAACAGCUUAACACAAGGGUUAACUAAUUCAACAUUACAUGCCAUAACACAUGCUCACAAACCUUCAACCCUGCCAAAACAAACAAUGUUCAUAACAACAAGCCAAACUCUUUAAAAGGACACUUAAAAUACAGCUUAACACAAGGGGUAGCCAAUUCAACAUAUAAGUGCCAUAACACAUGCUCAAAAACCUACAAACUCACCAAAACAAACAAUGUUCAUAACAACACGCCAUCUCAUCAAAAGAACACUAAAACAACAGCUUAACACAAGGGUUAACUAAUUCAACACAUACAUGCCAUUACACAUGCUCAAAAACCUUCAACCUCGCCAGAACAAACAAUGUUCAUAACAACAAACUAAAAUCUUUAAAAAAACACUUAAAAUACAAUUAAGCACAAGGGGUAGCCAAUUAAACACAUACGCGCCAUAACACAUGCGCAGAAACCUUCAAACUCGCCAAAACAAACAAUCUUCAUAACAACAAGCCAAACUCAUCAAAAGAACAGUAAAAUAACAGCUUAACACAAGGGUUAACUAAUUCAACACAAACAUGCCAUAACACAUGCUCACAAACCUUCAAACUCGCUAAAACUAACAGUGUUCAUAACAACAAGCAAAACUCAUCAAAAAAAGACUAAAACAACAGCUUAACACAAGGGUUAACUAAUUCAACACAUACGUGCCAUAACACAUGCUCACAAACCUUCAAACACGCCAAAACAAACAAUGAUCAUAACAACAAGCCAAACUCAUCAAAAGAAGACUUAAACAACAGCUUAACACAAGGGUUAACUAAUUCAACAUUACAUGCCAUAACACAUGAUCACAAACCUUCAAACUCGCCAAAACAAACAAUGUUAAUAACAACAAGCCAAACUCAUUAAAAGAACAGUAAAACAACAGCUAAACACAAGGGUUAACUAAUUCAACACAAACAUGCCAUUAAACAUGCUCAAAAACCUUCAAACUCGCCAAAACAAACUUUGUUCAUAACAACAAGCCAAACUCAUCAAAGGAACAGUGAAACAACAGCUUAACGCAUUCAUGCCAUUACACAUGCUCAAAAACCUUCAAACUCGCCAAAACGAACAAUGUUCAUAACAACAAGCCAAACUCAUCCUAAGAACACUAAAACAGCAGCUUCACGCAUUCAUGCUAUUACACAUGAUCAAAAACCUUCAAACUCGCCAAAACGAACAAUGUUCAUAACAACAAGCCAAACUCAUCAAAAGAACACUAAAACAACAGCUUCACGCAUUCGUGCCAUUACACAUGCUCAAAAACCGUCAAACUCGCCAAAACAAACAAUGUUCAUAACAACAAGCCAAACUUAUCAAAAAAAAACUAAAACAACAGCUUAACACAUUCAUGCCAUUACACAUGCUCAAAAACCUUCAAACUCGCCAAAACGAACAAUGUUCAUAACAACAAGCCAAACUCAUCAAAAGAACACUAAAACAAGAGCUAAACACAUUCAUGCCAUCAAACAUGCUCAAAAAUCUUCAAACUCGCCAAAACAAACAAUGUUCAUAACAACAAGCCAAACUCAUCAAAAUAACACUAAAACAACAGCUUAACACAAGGGUUAACUAUUUCAACACAAACAUGCCAUUAAACAUGCUCAAAAACCUUCAAACUCGCCUAAACAAGCAAUGUUCAUAUCAACAAGCCAAACUCAUCAACAGAACACUAAAACAACAGCUUAACACAUUCAUGCCAUUACACUUGCUCAAAAACCUUCAAACUUGCCAAAACAAACAAUGUUCAUAACAACAAACCAAACUCAUCAAAAGAACAGUAGAAAAACUGCUAAACACAUUCAUGCCAUCAAACAUGCUGAAAAAUCUUCAAACUCGCCUAAACAAACACUGUUCAUAACAACAAGCCAAACUCAUCAAAAGAACACUAAAACAACAGCUUAACACAAGGGUUAACUAAUUUAACACAUUCAUGCCAUGACACAUGCUCAAAAACCUGAAAACUCGCCAAAACAAACAAUGUUCAUAACAUUAAGCCAAACCCCUUUAA